rnacentral:lncRNA from 1 species
GGAAUACGAAGGGAGAAUGAAACAAAACUGCUCCGCUUAGGGAACUUGGAAAGGAAAUUGAAAAGGCAAGGCACAGGCUGGAAGAAAAUAUUUGAAAAAGAUUUAUGUGAACUUCUUUCUGGAUUAUACAAAAUAUUUUUAGAUAUUCUUACAACUCUAAAAUAAGAUAACUCCUUAAAAAUCUAAAUUCUACCAAAGGAGAGAUAAAGAUGACGAAUACAUUCAAAGAUGCUGAAAAUCACUUAUUUAUUAUUAGGAAGUUACAAGCUAAAGCAUAAUGAGAUACCACUACAACCUACUAAACUGACUAAAAUUAAUCAGACUAACCAGGUGUUGGCAAGAAACAGGGACACUGAGACUCUCACACUGCUGGAAGGAAUGUAAAAUGCUAAAACUUCUUUGGAAAUGAGUUCAGUAACUUUUUAAACAGUUGAAAAUAGACCUAUCAUGCAAACCAGCAAUCCCACUUCCAGGUAUUUAUACAAGGAAAAUGACAACAUAUGCCCACAUAAAGACUUGUGCACAAAUGACCGUAGCAGCUUUGUGAUAAUUGCUAAAAACUAGAAACUUGUCAAGUGUCCAACAGUUGACAUGCAGGCUGGACAUACAGUGGGCCUCGAUUGCUUAGAAGCCAAACUGAACUCACCAAGAAAAGAAGACAGGAGAAACUUCUCAAGAGGAAUAUCUCCAAAUUGCAGGAUCGAAUACCAUAAGAGGAAUUCUGGACUGAAGAGUUAUGAAGUCAUUUCAGACACUUCCAGACAAUUUGUGUUAAUUAAAUUCUCACUGGUUGAGUUCCAUUCUACACUGGAAGAGCAUUUUUCCUGGAAAGGCUCCUCAAAAUGGACACCAUCAAGAGUCACCUCCUCAGUGAAGCCUUCCAUGGUUUCAUACCACCCAUCCCUAUCGGAAUGAAUGUAUCCUUGUUCUCCGUUAUCCCAGUAUUUUGCCUGGGCUUCUGUCACACUACUUUCAAUGUCUAUACCUCAGUUAUCGAAUCGAAAAACAAGAGUCAUCAGUCUCUAAGGUCCUUGCAAGCUUCAAAACUUUAUAUUUUUGUCAAUUACAACUGAAUAAAGCUGAACAACUUAUUAUUUAUG